GAUGAAGAACGUAGCGAAAUGCGAUAAGUAAUGUGAAUUGCAGAAUUCAGUGAAUCAUCGAAUCUUUGAACGCACAUUGCGCCCCUUGGUAUUCCGAGGGGCAUGCCUGUUCGAGCGUCAUUAUAACCCCUCAAGCUCAGCUUGGUGUUGGGGCCUGCUGCACUGGCAGCCCUUAAAAUCAGUGGCGGCGCCGUCUGGCUCUGAGCGUAGUAAUUCUUCUCGCUAUGGAGUCCUGGUGGAUGCUUGCCAUCAACCCCCAAUUUUUCUAUGGUUGACCUCGGAUCAGGUAGGGAUACCCGCUGAACUUAAGCAUAUCAAUAAGCGGAGGA
rnacentral:misc_RNA from 1 species